GACGAACGCUGGCGGCGUGCUUAACACAUGCAAGUCGAACGGAAAGGCCCUGCUUUUGUGGGGUGCUCGAGUGGCGAACGGGUGAGUAACACGUGAGUAACCUGCCCUUGACUUUGGGAUAACUUCAGGAAACUGGGGCUAAUACCGGAUAGGAGCUCCUGCUGCAUGGUGGGGGUUGGAAAGUGUCGGCGGUUGGGGAUGGACUCGCGGCUUAUCAGCUUGUUGGUGGGGUAGUGGCUUACCACGGCUUUGACGGGUAGCCGGCCUGAGAGGGUGACCAGCCACAUUGGGACUGAGAUACGGCGCAGUCUCCUACGGGAGGCAGCAGUGGAGAAUAUGACACAAUGGGCGGACGCGUGAUGCAGCAACGCCGCGAGCGGGAUGACGGCCUUCGAGUUGUGAACCGCUUUCGCCUGUGACGAAGCGUGAGUGACGGUACUGGGUAAAGAAGCACCGGCUAACUACGUG
rnacentral:rRNA from 1 species